GAUCGUCUAGGGGUUAGGACCCUGCAUUGUGGUUGCAGAAACCUGGGUUCGAUUCCCGGUCUG
rnacentral:tRNA from 11 species